rnacentral:rRNA from 1 species
GAUGAACGCUAGCGGCAGGCUUAAUACAUGCAAGUCGUGGGGCAGCAGGUCUGUAGCAAUACAGAUGCUGGCGACCGGCAAACGGGUGCGUAACACGUACGCAACUUACCCAUUACAGGGGAAUAGCCCAGGGAAACUUGGAUUAAUACCCCAUAUUAUAUAGGAUUGGCAUCAGUCUUAUAUCAAAGCUUCGGCGGUAAUGGAUGGGCGUGCGGUUGAUUAGAUAGUUGGCGGGGUAACGGCCCACCAAGUCUACGAUCAAUAGCUGAUGUGAGAGCAUGAUCAGCCACACGGGCACUGGGACACGGGCCCGACUCCUACGGGAGGCAGCAGUAAGGAAUAUUGGGCAAUGGACGAAAGUCUGACACAGCCAUGCCGCGUGAAGGAUGAAGGUCCUCUGGAUUGUAAACUUCUUUUAUCUGGGGCGAAAAUCACCCUUUCUAGGGUGCUUGGCAGUACCAGAGGAAUAAGCACCGGCUAACUCCGUGCCAGCCGCCGCAGUAAAAC